GGUUGAUCCUGCCAGUAGUCAUAUGCUUGUCUCAAAGAUUAAGCCAUGCAUGUCUAAGUAUAAACUCGUUUGUACAGUGAAACUGCGAAUGGCUCAUUAAAUCAGUUAUAGUUUAUUUGAUGAUAGCACACUACAUGGAUACCUGUGGUAAUUCUAGAGCUAAUACAUGCACAGCGCCCUCGGGCGGUAUUUAUUAGAUACAAAACCAGCUUCGGCGGUGAUUCAUGGUAACUUGCAGAAUCGCGGCAUGGCCGCGAUGGAUCAUUCAGAUUUCUGCCCUAUCAACUUGCUGG
rnacentral:rRNA from 1 species